rnacentral:rRNA from 1 species
AUUGAACGCUGGCGGCAGGCUUAACACAUGCAAGUCGAGCGGAGAUGAGGUGCUUGCACCUUAUCUUAGCGGCGGACGGGUGAGUAAUGCUUAGGAAUCUGCCUAUUAGUGGGGGACAACAUUCCGAAAGGAAUGCUAAUACCGCAUACGUCCUACGGGAGAAAGCAGGGGAUCUUCGGACCUUGCGCUAAUAGAUGAGCCUAAGUCGGAUUAGCUAGUUGGUGGGGUAAAGGCCUACCAAGGCGACGAUCUGUAGCGGGUCUGAGAGGAUGAUCCGCCACACUGGGACUGAGACACGGCCCAGACUCCUACGGGAGGCAGCAGUGGGGAAUACUGGACAAUGGGGGGAACCCUGAUCCAGCCAUGCCGCGUGUGUGAAGAAGGCCUUAUGGUUGUAAAGCACUUUAAGCGAGGAGGAGGCUACUGAGACUAAUACUCUUGGAUAGUGGACGUUACUCGCAGAAUAAGCACCGGCUAACUCUGUGCCAGCCGCCGCGGUAAGAC